ACAUAAUCCAUUCCCUCAUCCAGUGACCACUGAACAGAAGAAGACUUGAAGGUACUUUGUAUUGGACACUUAUUUCUGUGCCAGUGCAGGUUUCUUCUCCCUGACCUCAGCUGCCUUCUGAUUGGACAAGCAUCAUAAUAAGUUGUUAAAGCCAAGAUGGUUUAAGAAAAGUUGGAAAUAGCCUCUUCUUUCCACAAAGCAAUCUCCACUGAUCGAAACUGAAUUAGGAAGACACAAUGCAAUACCUAAGGAGUAAGUUUUUCCCUUUCUAUUUCUUCUAAUGGUCA
rnacentral:lncRNA from 1 species